ensembl:lncRNA novel transcript
GAGUCAGCUGCUAUUGUCCAACCUGGAGUGUAGGGUGGACUGUAGUCCUUCUGUGAUCUCAUAAUCCACCAGCAGACCCCUCCUGUGUACCCCUCUGUGUACUCCUGCUGUGUACCUGGAGACCCCCAGGUCUCCAGGGGUCAAACCACACCCCACAGGCACCUUGGAAGAAGAAAUCCACAGGAGGAAAAAAAGAAGAUUUGCUGAGCACCUACUAUGCAUCAGACGCUGUGUUCUAGGCAAGGGGGAUACACCUGAUGGAAGAAGGUCCUUCCCUAGACGUAGCUAACAUCCCAGUGUGGGAGAUGACACGAAACAGCAAACUCCCCACAACAGCCUCCUCAACGCUGCCUCCCACAGUGCUUGGACAAAAUAAUUACAGCAAGAUGCGGGCACUGAGCUGACUCCUUAUGUAGGACAUCCCAGUGCAGAUGUGCCCCACCUAAGUGCUGACAGCCUAAAAGUCCACCAUUAAAGCCAUUCUUCGGGUUUAAGGCAUUGAUCUUCACCAUCAUCUCCCAUUAUUAUAUCUGCUUGCUCUCAUGGAGACAGGGGUCACUGGGGCCAGUCCACCUGUAGUGGCUGAAGUCUUCAUCUCCUGCAGCAGAGAAGUUUGUUGGGACUAUGUAAAAUAUCAAAAGAGGGUUUCUUUAACCCUUAAAUCUC